GUUUUCAGUUUUCCUCGGUAGUUAACUGCAGCCGGUUCCAUAAUUCGGCAGUUAACUGUCGAAGGGCAU
rnacentral:pre_miRNA from 1 species